UCUUGGCAGUCAUAGGGGUUUUGCCCCAAGCGACCCAGGCAAAGCCUCAGAGUGGUGGCAGGUGGAUGGGGCAUUCAAUUUUCAGAGGUUGGCAGGGAUUUAGCAUUCCUCAAUCCACAGUGAAAACACGUCUAUUCAUUUAGUGCAGAAGGCCUCACACAAAUUCCCCACCGAACAUCCAUGUCAGUAGUACUAAAUGUACUGCAUUGUUGGUCGGUGAGUAAUCAUGGACUGAAGUUAUCCUUAUACUCAGUCCCAGCUGGAUGGUUCAGUAGUCAAAUGGAGCCUCAGACAAGCUGUGCGUACUGGACAGUGGCAGACCCAUGGUUCCUCUGCCAUCUUGCCUCAAAAUCCUUUUUUUUUUUUUUUUUGGGGGGUGGUUUCAGUUAACUUACCAGAUAACUAUCUUCACCAUGUGUAAUUUUAGACUAUCUAGCCUUUGAUAUGAGUUGUACAUUAUCUUCUUUUAACCAGUGCUCUAAUA